rnacentral:lncRNA from 1 species
AUACAACAUUAUUCAAAAAACAUACAUAAUAUUUAAUAUCAAAAUUCAUAAGCAUUUUGAGCUUCCAUUGGAUUUCAGGACCGCAGAAUCACAUAUUACACAUUCAAGGUCUAAGAAGUGCCUGAAUAGUCAGCAAAAGACCAAAUGUUAGCUCGAAACUAAGAAAGAAUAGCAGAAAUGGACCAGCAACACCAAAAUCAAACCACAAGCUUCAAAUGAAAACCACUUUCAAACCAAGAAUUAGAAUAGCCUUCAGAAAUCCAAAAUAAACCUCACGAACUGUGGGAAAAUUUCACUGAAACAGUGAAUUUUCUGUACUUAGCCGUUUUCCUUUUCUUUGAUUUUCUAUCGCUUCAAAAUCUGCCUUGAAAGGCAAGAAUAAGAUGCCUUUAUAGGCAAGGCAAUAGAGCAACACAAAAGAGAUCAGAUUUGCACUUUAUCCCUUUUAAAUUAGGCUUUUACUCAAAAAGCCCCUCAAUUUUUGACUUGCUUGCCAAGCAAGUCUAUUUGUAGCAUCUAAGAAGCUUCCUCAUCUGUUACAAUAGGAUUCAUUUACCUAUUCUACCCAAGAUACCCCUGGACCUCUUCUUAAUUACCUUUCAAAGAUCACAUGAGUCAUGGGUCAACCUGACCUAAUAACUAAACUAGACCAAUAUGGGUCACGAGCCAAAUCCGUUUUGGGCUUAGUAGAUUUCAGGCUCAAAUUGAUCCAUAAAUAGAUAUCUAUAUUUAACGAGUCAAAGGAAAAACUCGUAACCCAUAAGGCAAAACCCAAAACCCAAAAUUAAAAAAGCAGUGGCUUAAUUAAUUUCAAACAAAAAUCAAAUGAAACAUGAUGAUUAUUGAACACUUAUGCAUGGACAGAAUUAAAACGAAUACAUAAUGAAAAAGAGAAAUGAUGAAGAAGGACCAGAAGUGGAAUGCACAAAUAAGGAAAAGUAAAAUGAAAGAAAAAGUACAGAAAACUAACAGAAGACUACCUAAAGGCUCAGGACAGACUCGAACCAGUUUUGAAAGGUCCUCUAAUUUUCCGACCGGAUUAGACCUUAUUCUUGUGUUUUCAUGUGAAAACACACGAGCAAGGUCCAGUAUUUUCUAAUAUUCUACAAAUUCAGCCCGUUGAAUUUGAGUUCGCAGAGUUAGGGCUUUCUUGUGAUCCAAUAUUCAACGAGUUCUAAGAGUGUUUGAGGGAAAAUAAUUAGGGAUUGGGGAAGAGGGGAUGGAAGAGAUCGAGGGGUGUUGUUUUGGGGUCAAUUGGUGGUGGCGCCACCACCGGAGGAACUGUGGUGGCGCUAGGGUUUUUAAAAUUUGGAGAUUUCUGGUGGGAUUUGAGGGAAACAGGGUGUGCUAUUGGAAUUAGGGAGGGGAGAAGAAGUUGUGGUGUGAAUUUUAGGCGUUUAGAGACUCGCUGCCGUCGUGGGGUGAUUUUCGGUGGCGGCUGGUAGCGGCGUUACAUGGGAGACUUAAGGGUUAUGAGAGACGAGUGAGGGGGGUAGCGGGACAUUUGGACAACUAUAUACUUAGUAUACCCUUGUUCCGUACCGUUGGAUCUCAAUGAUCCAAUGGUUGAUAUUUAAAUUACAUCGAACGGGGUCGUUUUGGUUUAAUGGGGGGACGGACCGGGUCAGGUGGAAUUGGGCUUGGUCUAGGCGUGUCUUGGAAUGGGUUUUAUGGUGUUUAGUUGGGCUGGAGACAGAUCAGCUAAUUUCAGCCCAAAAAUCCAUCUCUCCAAACUUUCUUUUCCAUUUCAAAUUAAUUUUCCAAAAUUCUUUUUAUUCUCUUUUUUCAAAAAUCAAAACUAAAACCGAAUUAAAUUAUCACAAAUGUUAACUGAUCCUAAGUAAUUACCACAAUUAAUAAAUUAAAGAAAAACAUACUCAAAAAUUACAAUUUAAAGGUGCAAAAUAACUAUUUUUGAGAUUUUCCCUCCCUUUAUUAUAAAAAAACUUAAUCACUUAAUUAAUCCUAAAAUUUUAUGUUAAAUCCUAAAUGCAAAUGCACAUAUUUUUUUGUAUUUUUUAUUAAUUAAACAAAAAUAAAAAUGCACAGACAAAUGCAAAUAAUUAGACAAAAAUGAUACAAAAAACCAUAAAAUUGCAAACAACGGCAAGAAUUAUUUUAUGCUGAAUUUGUGGGAGUUAUUCAUAUAGGGAAAAAAUCACGUACUCACAAUGGUCACCUGCAUCAAUAAGCUUCUAGACUGCUCUUUUCAGAUGCAAACACUUUUCUAUGUCGUGCCCCAGAGCAUUACAACAAUAUGCACAUCUUUGAGAAAAAUCAAAAUUCUUUCGAAAGCAUUUCGACAUAUUUAUCUGAACCGGCUUCAACAUAUCCAAUUGUCUCAUCCUUUGGAACAUACUAGCAUAUGAUUCUCCAAUAGGAGUUAAAGACUUUUCUCUUUACUACUGCCUUCUAAUUUUGUACUCCAACCUUGGUUGGAACCUUUUUCAGUUAGGGGGUUGAUAUGCUUUUAGAGAUGGGUAAGACAUUUGUGGAGGCAGUGCAAGCCGUUACAGGUUUCAUGGGUGUGGAGCAUAUGGCGGUGCAUUAUGGAUAGAGUACUAAGGAGGUGAGGUGUGACUUUGGAGAUUCUGUGGAGGAAAGUAGCAUUGGGGAGGAUUAUCUGGAGUAUGAGGAUAUUUAUGGGGUCGGUAUUGAGGCUAAUAGCAUUUAGCAGGAAUGCUCACUAAAUUCUAUAGUUGGCGGGAUUUAGCAACAUCUUUUCUACCAAUCAGAGAACUGACCCAAGCAACUUGUUCAUUCCAUCUAAACUAAAAACCCCUAAAGCCUUCCUUGGGUUUAUUUUCCAUCUAAGAUAGGGAGGAGCAGUCUGGGAUAAUGUCUACAUUGUACUAGUAGUGCUGAACAAAAUCUUGAUCCAUGUCACCUCAUGCAUGCCACUUACUAGCAUCUUGGGGGGGGGGGGGGUACCACNNNNNNNNNNNNNNNNNNNNNNNNNNNNNNNNNNNNNNNNNNNNNNNNNNNNNNNNNNNNNNNNNNNNNNNNNNNNNNNNNNNNNNNNNNNNNNNNNNNNNNNNNNNNNNNNNNNNNNNNNNNNNNNNNNNNNNNNNNNNNNNNNNNNNNNNNNNNNNNNNNNNNNNNNNNNNNNNNNNNNNNNNNNNNNNNNNNNNNNNNNNNNNNNNNNNNNNNNNNNNNNNNNNNNNNNNNNNNNNNNNNNNNNNNNNNNNNNNNNNNNNNNNNNNNNNNNNNNNNNNNNNNNNNNNNNNNNNNNNNNNNNNNNNNNNNNNNNNUUGGGGGGGGGGGUGUACCACUCCAGAGCUGCCCCACACGGACUCUAACUGAAAUACGCCAUCAAUAAUUCAUCUUUCCCACAAAUUUCCCUACAAUAAUCUCUCAGAUGGGCUACUGGAUCUUCAUGCUCAUCAUAUAAAUUAAACGUUGGCAUUUUAAACCCUUUAAGCUUUCUGGAUAUCUCACCUUGCUCCACUAUCUCAGCAGGCUUUGCAGUUUUACUGGGAGGCUCAAAAUGAGGAGAGAAAGAGUAUGGACCCGAGACGUUGAAAAUUGGUUUUGGAGCAUACUGUUGGACAUUGGGGACUUUGAACACAGUCUUGCUGGAGGAUUGAGGAAGAGUAGCUGGUGGAGGAGCUACAAAAACAUGAGUGGUCAAAGGAGCGGGAUGUGAUGUUCUUUUGAGGGGUGGAGUGUGAAAAAACUAUGGGGAGAUAUCAGCAGCGGUGGGAACCUGGGCUUGUGAUAGUGGUAGGAUAGUUGCAGAGUUUUCAGUGUAGUUAGUGGGGAGUGAAGGUGGAAGAUACCCCCUGAUCCAAGACUGAUACAUUUCUACCAUAUGCUGUUUCAACUUUUGGACCUUCUCUUUCAGUUCUGAUUCUGAUUCUACAAUCUCCCUUGGUGGGUGUACAACCCUAGUGGCUGUUUCUUUGCUAGCCAUAACUGUCUUGUGUUUUCUGGUGUUGUAUGAACGAAUCACGAAAGUGCCACAAACUAACCACCCUCUAUUAUAAUAACAAUGGCAGUAACAAGAGGAGCAAAACAAAUUCAACAUGUUAAGGUUUAGAGCAUUUAUCAGAUAGAAAUAUCAUGUUGCAUGAAAUGCUCCCUAGUUAGAGUUAAUGGUUCUAUAAUGGCUUCGAUGGUACGAAGGUCAUAUAGCAUCAUCCCAAUUUCACUCUUCUUUCCCCAUUUCCUUCUUCAUCUUCCUUUCUAACACCGCUUGGUUUUUUUUAUUUCAUUCCUCCUCUUUUCUUUCUGAUUAUCGCUCUUUUCUUUCCCUCAUUUCUCAUGUCCGCAAUUCCAUUCUCUCUCUUUUUCUUUCUUCUUCUAGUUUUUUUAGAUUCUUUUGGAAAAUGAUUCAAUCAAACCCUAUGUAGGUUUCCUACAUAUCAUGUCCCUCAUGAACCAGAUCAAGCGUAGUUUUGGAAAAAUAAUGGACAAAAUAAAUUAAGAAACAAAAAUCUUUUUGGAUUUUUCAUUUAUAACUUUUUUCGAUUUUCAAAUACAAAACAUGAAGUACGAUAAUGAGAGACUCGACCAACUAAAAUAUACUACAACAAUUCUGACACCAACUAAUUGACUGAAUACUACUGUAAAUGAUUAGGAAGUAAAACAUGAAUAAUAGACUCCAAAACAUAAAAAAAAGGCUCCUCAAGCACCUCCUGAAUGUAGUGGUCCGGGGUAUAUGUCAUGCUCGAGUAUUGGUACAUGGAUCCACACCUAAAUGAGAAAAAUAAGACCGAGUAAAUCAAUGACUCAAGACACUAUACGAUACCACAACACCUCAUGUAGGACACUCGCAAGACACGAUUGGGCUAUUUUUGAAAAUUAACCUACAUGGCCAAGAGUGGCUAGAAGUGCAAACUCAACAAAUGUGGCCUCAAAGACAUGGAAAUACCUCACUAUGGCUUAUAUGGAUUCAACUCCUAAUAAUCAUGGCCCAAAAUCAAUUUGCAGAAAUGACCCAUUUUGCAAAAAUGAUCGAUAUGGCCAGAAAUGGCUAAAGAUGCAAACUCAAUAAGGACGACCUUAAAAUAAUAUGACACCUAGUUGUGGACUCAAGAUCCUAAGACAUGGUUUAUCGAACCACUUUCGCGAAAAUGACCCUAUUUUGCAAGAAUGACUGAUGUGGCCAAAAGUGACUAGACAUUCAGGAUUUGACUAAGACCCCGCAAAGCCAAGAACCUAAGAUUUACUAGGAAGACCGGACCCUAAGUGGGUUUCCUAUAUAUCCCGCCCCAAAAUACGACAAUCAGAUAUGCAUAGUUCGGGAAAAUUGGAUAUGGGAGAACGCUUAAAAAAUGACACUAAUUUGGAAAAAAUAUAUUUUUUGUACUUUUGAAAAAUGUAAAAAAAUUUGAUUUUCCUUUUUUCUUUUUUGUUGAACUUUUUGGAAAAUGAUGGGAAAAUGUAAAUUUUUUUUAGGGAUUUUUUCAUUCUCAAUUUUUUUGUCUUUUCUUGAAAAGGUUAUGAAAGAAAAAUAUAAUUAGGCCUUACUUGCUUCAUUUUUACUGUUCUUUCCCAAACAUCGAUCCGACAAAUGAUCUUUUUACCCUCAAAGAUGCAACAUGUAUCACAUAGGGAUGAUUGAAUGUCUUUUUGGGCCACGGACCCCAUUUUUGACAUAAUUUAGAUAGGCUUCCUACAAAGGGAUACGGUGCUUGGAACCGAGCCCUACUAGGUCCAAAUAACAUGAUACAAAUUAGAAUGACCUAAAGGCUGACCUAAGUUUGGGGUUCGCUAAUAAGGCAAUUCGGGAGAGAGUAUGGUCGAUGAUGGCUGCUCAAGCUUUUCACCCACUCCAUACGUCCAACGGCCCCCCUCCCUCCUAAAAUAAGGGUGACUCAACAAAGAGUUUGUGCACAUGACGCGUACUCCGAGACUUAUUGCAGAAAGAAAACCCGUGGUUAUGCAAAUAAUGACAGUUUCUAAAGUAGUAACACAUAAAAAAAAACGAUAAACAAAUAACCAAAAAAACAAGGAAUAAAGAAAAAAACACCUUAACCAAAUAUCCUAAAAGCUAACAAGAUCAAGUACCACCUCAAACCUACAAUUCUCCAACACAGUCGCCAGAGCUGUCACACCCCUUUUUUACCAACUUCACUAACCCUCUUUAAAUAGUAAAAAAAUGACUUGUAAAGCUCGAAAGAGUUGUUAAUUAGAAAGUGACAACAAAUUGUGUGCAAAAGGAAAUAACUCAUAAUCGCCACCUGACAUUGGUUUCGGUGUGCCAGGUCACCGUUUUAUAAAAAUAAUUUUUUUCCUCUUUAAACACUUUGGACUCCAAAACUAAGUAUGCACCAGAGAUUCGGGUAAGGGGGUUCAUUUGAGUUGGGGAAAAUGUGUUAGCACUCCCCAGUCCCGUGAAAGUCACGGUUGCGUAAUCUAUAUAGUUGACUUUUAGAAUAUUUAGAUCGAGAUAAAAAUAAUCACGGAAAAUCAAAACAAACACACAUGAGGCUCGAGGUCAUCCACCUAAUAAAGGAACAUAAAGUAAAAUGAAAUAAAAAUAAAACAUUACAAAUCUAUAUGCACCUCCUCAAUGCUCGUCAAAGACUCCAAAAUAUUUACAAAGUUCUUCGGGACAUUUCUCAGAAAUAAAAUAUCUACAUAUCCUUCAGGGCAUUCCUCGGGAAAUUUAACUAAGGGAACGAUCUCUCGGCUCGAAACUAGCAAAAAUCCUAAAGAUUGCCUACCAGGUGUGACCGGCAUAGUCAUGCUCCUAACGAUCCAAUUAACGAGAGUAAUAAUAAAGAACAACAAAAUUAUAUCAAACUUAAUCUCAAAACAUAUGGCAGGUUCACAUGUAACCCUUAUCUUCCUCCAAUGUAAAUGUUUCUACAUUUCCCUCUAUGUAUAGUGUAAAAGGAAGCAAAAUCAUUGCAGUCAUUGGAUCCAUAUAUAAUAAUCGGUUUAUCGAGUGAAAUUUCCCAGUUUCAAAUGUUAAAAGCGAACUAAAUUCAUCUCCCUUUUUAACAUAACCCGAUCCCAGAUUUCACGACUAAUUUUAGCACAAGCUAGUUCGUAUAAAUCCAAACCAAUUGAUAUGAGCAGAAUUAACCAAGCAAAAUAUGAUUAACAUGGAUUAAACAAACAUUUCACCACAAACAACACAUAAGUUUUAAAGGAGAUAAAUUGAGCAGAGAACUGAAGAAUUGGACCUCAAGCAGAAUGUUGUCUCAACUGUUAAUAAGAACAACUCCGAAUCUGGUUCAUCAACUACGAAGGUAUUAAAAUAUAACAACAAACUCCGAUUAAAAUAUGUCUGGAAAGUAAAAAUAAGGACUAUAACUACACCUCGGACGGUGACUUCUUAAUCAAACUCCACGAUUUGAACACCAAAAUUCUGAAAUACAAACUGAAGAUGCAAAAUAUAUUUUUGUAUUUUCUGAGAUUUAAACCAAACUUAAAAACUAAAAAACGGCCUAAAAAUGAAAGAAGAAACUGAGUUUUUUUUUUCUUUUGCAACUCGCGACUGCUGGUGGUUGACGGUGGUGGUUGGUUUGAGCGGAGAGACUGCUGGUGUUAGCUAGUCGUUUGAGGGUGGUUGACUUGAGAUAGGGUCACUGGUGUUGUUUGUGAUGUCCGGUGGGUGGCGAUGGGUGAUAGGAGGCAGUGAAGUUGUCAGAUGCGGCAACUGUCUUACGGUUCUAGGUUCCAGGGUAUUGAUGUGUGAAGAAGAUGAUGUGAAAUCAGGGGUGUUAUUUUGUUGAUGGCGUCGCUCAUGGCUGCUCAUUGGGUCUAGGUUUUUUGGGUGUCCAAGAGGUGAAAGGUUCUCGUCUAGGAUUUGAGGUCUAAUGUCCAAAUGAAGAAGAAGAAGGUACUCCUCUCUCUCUAGCGUUAGGUUCCUCUGUCUGAUGGCUCUAAGUGUCAAAAGGAGGGGUUUUCUUUUGGGGUGGUCCUGGGUUAAGAAAUAUUGGGCUUGAC